rnacentral:rRNA from 1 species
AAUGAACGCUGGCGGCAGGCCUAACACAUGCAAGUCGAACGCCCUAGCAAUAGGGAGUGGUGCACGGGUGCGUAACACGGGGGAACAUGCCCUUGACUACGGAACAACGUCGGGAAACUGACGCUAAUACCGUAAAAUGACUCCGGUCCAAAGAUUUAUCGGUCAAGGAUUAGCCCGCGUGUGAUUAGGUAGUUGGUGAGGGAAUGGCUCACCAAGCCAACGAUCAGUAGCUGGUCUGAGAGGAUGAUCAGGCACACUGGAACUGAGACACGGUCCAGACUCCUACGGGAGGCAGCAGUGAGGAAUAUUGGACAAUGGGCGCAAGCCUGAUCCAGCCAUGCCGCGUGAGUAAUGAAGGCCUUCGGGUUGUAAAGCUCUUUUAGAUGUGAAGAUUAUGACGGUAGCAUCAGAAAAAGCCCCGGCUAAAUUCGUGCCAGCCGCCGCCGUAA